rnacentral:misc_RNA from 1 species
UGGAAAAUGGAGGUUUUUAAACCUUGAAAACCUCACUCUCUCUCAAAUAGAAACACAAGUUCAAGGUUUUUAAAUCUUUAAAAACCUCUCAUUAAUUUAAAAAACUUCCUCCUAAGCAAAGGUAUAAUUCAGUUAAAACUAAUUAUUGUUUUUCCUGCUAGAGAUAGGGUGCUCAGCUGUUAAAUAUAUUAAGGGAUAGGCAAUCAACUAAACACAUGGUAAUAGAUAGUGAACGGAAUAAUGGUUAAAAAUUCAAUUGGUUGCAUGCUUGUACGUGUAUAUGAAUUUUGGACGAAACUUUCUUUACUCUUUGCAGAGAAAAUGGAUCAUCACAAGAUGAAGCAGGGUGUUCAAACGCUUUUAGGGGAAAAUCUGACAUAGACCUUAAAAGAAAACAGUCUGAAGUAGUAACUAAAUUACAGAAUCGGAAUAAAUCACCAAAAACUGAAGGUGGCCAGCAGCCAUCACCAAAUAGCAGAAAAGGCUCCUUCAAGCAAUCAAAACAUGAAAAACUGGAUUGGAGUAUGCGCAGACCAAAAAGUCAAUACAAUCAAAACGAGAGAGGGUGAGAAUAAAUAGGUCAUUAGCUUAAAAAUUGUGGAAU